UACGUAGGGGGCAAGCGUUGUCCGGAAUCAUUGGGCGUAAAGCGCGUGUAGGCGGCCCGGUAAGUCCGCUGUGAAAGUCGGGGGCUCAACCCUCGGAUGCCGGUGGAUACUGUCGGGCUUGAGUGCGGAAGAGGCGAGUGGAAUUCCUGGUGUAGCGGUGAAAUGCGCAGAUAUCAGGAGGAACACCAAUUGCGAAGGCAGCUCGCUGGGACGUUACUGACGCUGAGACGCGAAAGCGUGGGGAGCAAACAGG
rnacentral:rRNA from 1 species